AAUAGAUACCCGGGUAGUCCACGCCGUAAACGAUGAGUGCUAGGUGUUAGAGGGUUUCCGCCCUUUAGUGCUGCAGCUAACGCAUUAAGCACUCCGCCUGGGGAGUACGGCCGCAAGGCUGAAACUCAAAGGAAUUGACGGGGGCCCGCACAAGCGGUGGAGCAUGUGGUUUAAUUCGAAGCAACGCGAAGAACCUUACCAGGUCUUGACAUCCUCUGCUAUUUCUAGAGAUAGAAGGUUCCCCUUCGGGGGACGGAGUGACAGGUGGUGCAUGGUUGUCGUCAGCUCGCGUCGUGAGAUGUUGGGUUAAGUCCCGCAACGAGCGCAACCCUUGACCUUAGUUGCCAGCAUUCAGUUGGGCACUCUAAGGUGACUGCCGUGACAAACCGGAGGAAGGUGGGGAUGACGUCAAAUCAUCAUGCCCCUUAUGACCUGGGCUACACACGUGCUACAAUGGACGGUACAAAGGGCUGCGAAACCGCGAGGUGGAGCCAAAUCCCAGAAAACCGUUCUCAGUUCGGAUUGCAGG
rnacentral:rRNA from 1 species